UACACACCGCCCGUCACGCCAUGGAAGCUCGGAGUGCCCGAAGUCCGUGUCGGAACCGCAAGGACCAAGCGGCCGAAGGCAAGCCGAGUGACUGGGGCG
rnacentral:rRNA from 1 species